rfam:Ovis aries breed Texel chromosome 3, whole genome shotgun sequence.
UCCCUGGUCGCUCAGACGGUAAAGCAUCUGUCUACAAUGCAGGAGACCCAGGUUCGAUCCCUGGGUUGGGAA